UAAUUUUGAUCAAAAUCCAAAUACAGACAGUCUAUCAAGCUUGAAUAUUGUGUCCAAACAUGCACCAACUGGUCAGUCAAAUAACAAGGCUGCGCUGCACACAUCAUUUUCUUAAUCAUAUUAAUCUGACAUGUUAAAGUUUGUACAUUAUGAAGUUACUAACCUGUUGAUUUUGUGUAUUUCAGAUUAUUAUUGAAAAAAGAGCACUUUGAAGUACUAGGAGAAUUUGAAAACAUCUUGGUGAAAUAGUCUGACUGAUUAUGACAGAACAUCAAAAGAAAUGACGAAAAAUUACACAUCUUAUCAAAAUAGUACUACUAGAAACUAAAAGCUACUUGCAAUUUUCACUGGUUUUGAGAUCAGUAACAGUCUGACAAGGAAAGAAUUUAAUGAACAUGAUUAUGAUGCCUCUUGAUAAAUAUAAAAACAUAUUGACUGUAAAAUAAUUACCAGUUACCAAUUAUAUCUGUUGUUUACAAAAUUUGUUAUUUGGAAAUAUCUGUUGAAUGUUUUGAAAUUAAAAUGUGUUAACUUAAAUGAUUUAAGAAUUGAAGUCUUUAAAUGAUACAAAAGCAAGGAUACAUGGAAUGAUUGCAAUUGAGACAACUACUAGCCCAUUAUAAUAUGGCACUGAUGUAAACAAGUACAGGUCACCUGAAGUCUUCAACAAUAAGCAAAAGCCUUAAUUUAAAGAUUGUUAUACAUGGGCUUAUUAAGUCCCAAGAUAAUGGUAUCUACAUCAUUUGCUGUCAAAUUUUUGUUGUAUGUUUCUGAUGAAGGUUAAUUAAAAUAAGCCCAGCAC
rnacentral:lncRNA from 1 species